ensembl:lncRNA
CGGCGUUGUCCGCGCGCGGCCACCUGACCCCGGGCGCAGUUGUUAUUAGGCUCGGCGAGGCGGGCGGCGCGCGGCACCAGGGUUGGGCUCUGGCCGGGAGUCGACAGAGGGAGCGAGGGCAGGGAGCGCGCCCGUGCGUGCGCGCGCUCUCGCGACCGGACUAUCCGCCGCGGACACUCUUUCGCCCGCCUUACACUUCGAGCCUGGGCCCCGCUCAGCACCCUGGGCCCUUCCUAAGCGCCUCCCGCGCCGGCCCUCAGGUAGGCGGUGGCGCGCUCCAGGGUCGCGAGCAGAAUUGCAGAGGGCCGAGAGGCGCGCGCGUGGGAGCGCGGGGUGGAAGGGGAGCGCCCCCAAGUGGGCACAGGGAGAGGGGCGGCCGCACGGGGCGGCUCUUGCUGGGGCGGCCAGGCUUCAGGGCGCGCGCACGGGGCGGAGCCGCGCCAGGGCUCGGGGUGGUGCACGUGGCUCAGUGGCGACCCGGCUUGCUCCGUCCCAGGCGGGUGUCUCAGCUGUGUGCUGUCCUCUCCCCGGCCCACGGCCGCGAGGACGGAGCUGGGCCUCUCGCCUUGCUCCCCUUGUCGAACCGCCUGCUCUGGGCGCUCCGGGGGUCUUAGGAGCCUCCAUUCUUUCAUUCAUUCAUUCGCUCGAGGUUGAUCAUAUGAAGGGCCCAGCCCUGGGCUGGGUGCUAAAGAUGUAGUGACGGGCAAAGGGGAAAGGCCCCUUACAGACCAGCGUUCAAGGCGGUAACAGGUACAGGGGCGUCGCAUUCAGGCUCAUUUACUUAUUACUGCUGUUUUUCGUUUGCACUUGAAAUAUCUUGCAUCCAUACUUUUUACGUACUCUGUGCCCUUUUGGCAUACUUUAUACCCAAGAGUUCCUGUACAUCAUUGCCUCGAGUGUAGACACCAAAUCCUGUGAUUUAUGGGCUAUCUAUCCAGGGUGAUCUGGACCCUAAGUCAAUUGCUGUCCCGCUUGUGGAAUUAAAACCACACACAGACACAACACAAACACAAGCGCGCGUAUUUACAAACGUGAACGUAAAAAUACAGCGCGCGAGAGAAUUGAGAGAUUGAGGCUGAGAUUCGCGGUGAUGGUUGGAAGAAGGGCGCAUCCUAGCCUGGGUUCGGGAAAGCAGAAAUCUGGAGGAUGAACGCGGCCAGGGGAUCUGUCGGGGUCAAAUCCAAAGCAAGGCACUGACUCUGGAGCCCGACAGAGGUCGGCCAGGAUGUGCCAGGCUCCUGGCGCUCUGCCCACUGCUUCGCGAAGUUGAAGCUGCCGUGUUCAGCCAGGCUGUAGCGUGCGGCAGGUGGGACUCAGCGCGGACCUGGCGAUAUGGACGGGCGCGGAAGGGGUUCCCGGGGCUGCCCCUCAUCUUCCUAGUGGGGUUGGAAUCCGGGUUCACCGAGGGCAGGUUCUCCGCCCUGCUAGGGUAUGCUCUACCCAAGCCCGUCCUGGAAUCCCCAACAGCCACGCCUGUCUGCUUCUCCAUCUCCUUUGUUUCUUCCAGACUUGAUAGGAAACCCAUCUCCGACUCCCGCCUUCAUUCUGAGCCCUACCGGGUCACUGGGUGGGCAGGAGAAAGGAAAGGGGGCGGGGGGGGGGCAGCCGCUGAAGAGGCAGCAGUUUUACUUUAAAUGAAAAUCACACGAAAAUAUUUUUCCAACUCCUGGCUUUUUUGAGACAUCACCAGAAAGCACUGCCAGCUGUGAUUACGUCUAAUGUGAGAGCAUGAACUAAUUUAAGAGGUGAGAGCUGAAUAAUGAACCUACAUCCAGUGGAGCAGCCAAGAGUAGCAGCUCUCCCCGUGGAAGGCACCGGGAAAAACACCCCUGUAGAACUAACCUCAUACCCUUCCACAAAUGUUUACCAAGUGCCAGCCUUGUCUGCCCGGUUGCAACCAAGAACAAACCUGGAACCUGUUUGCUCGGAGCACACAGCAGGGUUGAGAUCACCUCCAGGGAUGUGGUUGCCUCCUGGUCUCUCAUUGUGGUAAGGUGAUGCCCAGCCCUGAACUGCCUUCUAUAUGCCAGUGACCCUCCAUUUUGUAUCUCCCAUCUGAGCCUUUUUCUGAGCCAGACCUGUCAUCCUAUGGGCCUAUUGGACCUUUUUGCUUAUGUAUCUUUAAGGUACAAUUAACCUUCCAGAUCCUUCUUUUCCUAUCCCAGUGACAAUGACUGUGGCCACCUAGAUAUGCAGUCUAAGGACCCCCACACCUAACCUGAUUGUAUAUGUCCUGUUGUUUAAGCCAUUCUCCUUAGACUGUUAGGGGCUCAUUAUCUCCACCUGGGCAACUUACAGCAUCUUCCUAAUGUAUCAUUCAGGGAUUAGUGAAGGAUCGCCUGAUACUGUUUAUUCUUUCACUUGAUGAAUAGCCAUCAAAGCCCUGAAAUAUGUAACCUCCACUUUUCUCCCAUGUAAGUGAGAUUUCAAAUGUCGUAUUACCUCCGAUUCUCCCAUCCCUUUUUCAUGUAGUAUAUAUUCAAAAAAUAAUGAAAAACAAUUUAGUGUUAAUAGUCCCAAAUUGUGAGGACUAAAGGAGAUUAUGUACAUGAAAAGGAAAAUCCAUUAGAGACUUCAAAAGCAGUCAUGUUUAUUUUUAGGCUUAUUAUGUUUUGGAGUCAGAAUCCUUUUAGCUGCAAGUGACAACACCAAUUCAAACUGGCUUAAGGAUUUCAUUUGGUUGAUGCAUAAAGCCUUGGAUAGAUCUUGCCAUUUAAGGCAUGAUUGGCCCUGUCAGUCAAGGUUACCAGGAUCUCUUUCCAGUAUUGGCAUCAUUUUCAGACAACCUGUUUCCAUAUAUGAGGCCCUUAGAGGUAUUACUAAGUCCUAGCAAGAAAAAAAAAGCAGUAUUUUUAGUCAAUAUUUGUAGCUGGAGUCCCAGAACCAUUCUUACAAGGGCAGCUGCAGUCACUUACCCUCUCUGGAGGUAGAGAAUGGACAGUUUGGUUGACUAAUCUUGGGCCUGGUCGCCAUCCCCUGCAAAGGGGUUUGUUGUGAGCUGCACAUAUUCUGGAAUAGAGGGACUCUCUAAAGAAAAUUAGAGAAGGGAUGCAGGACAGGCAGAAACCAUGAUGUCUACCUUAGCCCUUCUUACAGGUUUAACUGCAGUACAUUCCACACAGUAAGAAUGGUGAUGAGGAUGACAGAGGAAUAGAAGCAAUAGAUAUGUGUGUGGCUGUGAUCUUCAAGACCUCAGCUAAAUAGGAAGUCAGGUCUAUCAACCAUGAUGUUAUCUGAGGUUCUCUUUGAAGUCUAGAUGCACCUGAUACGGUAGGACUACAUGAAUCUAAAUCAACGGUCAUAACAUUUUAUUCUAAAAAAUUUUUUGCCAGUGUUCUGUUGGAAUUUUUUUUCUUUUCUUUUCUUUUCUUUUGUACCAAGCAUCAAACUCAGGACCUUGCACUUGCCAGGCAGGCGCAGGUGCCACUGAGCUAAAUCCUCAGCUCCUAAUUUUUAUCUUUUUAUUUUUUAGGUUCUCAGGAAGGUGAAGGUAAAAUUUUCAGUUCUUUCUGGACAUAUACCUAAAAUUCCUUAUUAUUCAUCAACUGAUGAAAAUUUGAGAGAGUCUAAAGAGUAAAAAGUAGUUUCAGAAAUGUACUGACUGUAGAAUUUAACUUUCUAAGGCUUUUCAGGUGUUGAAAUACUGGUAAAGUAUUAAAAAGCCACUUCUCUGAAGCUUUUAAAAUAACAAAGAUUUAGGAAACUGCAAGAUUACAAAUAAUGAAUUUAUACCACUACUAUUAUAUCUUUUACUUUUGGCUUUAAAUAUGGUAUCACAUUGUGGUGCAGUCAAAGGUUUAUUUCCUCUCCUGUGCUCUGAAUUUCCCACCACAGUGCAGUCUAAGAAAUGAAUGUAGCCGCAGCCUCCACCGAUGCUGUAUUCAUGGUUGCCCCGCUCCCCUCCUACUCCAUACCCUGGGAAAAAACGGCAACCUCCAUGGGAAUGAGCGCAUUUUCAGGAAAAGGGGGGUAUUUUCUUAAAGAAUGUGAAACAAACUCAUCCUUUUAUUAAAUCAAAAUGGAUUCGCUAAUGUUUAUACACAUCAAAUGGAGUUUUAUCUCUUUCCUCUUGUUCAAAGGCCCAGACAGUGCCAUUCCCUAGGGCUUGGUUCAUUUGCUCCUAAAGCAGAAGAGACAGUCCACUUUGUUCUGAAGAUUGUUAAUUUUAGGAUAUCAAGGGUCAAAGUCAUUUCAGGCUAAUUCCUAAAGUUAUACUAUAAAAUACAGGAAUGAUUCUAAGUUGUACAAAGUAUGAAAUACUGUAAUAUUUUAACUUUGACCAAAACCUUUACCUUCCUGGGUGUGUCUUUUUUGCCUAUUCAGAUUCAUAUUAAAUGCAACAUUUUUGCUGUUUAAAUUUUAAAAGUUAUGUUUAAAAAUUAACCUUAUAAUUGAACAUUUUUACUAAUACAGGAAAAAGACAGGAUUACUUUUUAAUGAAGGCCAGGUUUGUGGUAACAUUUUUAUUCUUUUAAAAAAAUUUUUCUUUUGAUCUUAAAAAAUAAAAGAACACAUUUAAAAUGCCUUUAGUUCUUACGUUAAUACCAAAUUAUGUAUUUUUUUAGUCUGUUUCAGAAGGAGAUACCGCCUUCUCAGUUAAAAGAUGCUGACACUAUUUUCAAAACAAUGCCUUGAAUCUGCUGUGGUGUGGGCAGGUAGGAAUUUUGUAUGAAGCUAUUAUUCAAGUAGAAGGAACUAAGGUCAAAGGCCAAAAAAAAACAUUUAAAAGUGUAUGUCUACAGAACUGCACCUGAGAGAAAACUAGAUAAUGUCACAAACUCGUUGGAAUUUUUCCAUGAAUUAUCUGUGUGCUGUUUAGGAUGGUUGGCUAUAGGGCCAAACCAAGGUUUAGUGAAUUCACCAAACAUUUAUGGGGUGCCAAAGUAUGCAAGACCUCAAACAUCAUGGUUAGAGGUAGCAAGCCAUGCAUAUUUGAAGAACCUCCACUUACACCUCUUCCUUUUGGUUCUACUCAGAAAGCCUCCUGAAAGUGUUAUCUUUGAUUAUUCUUUGUAUUUGUGUACCUUUAUCUUAUCAGAAGAUAGACAACAUUUAUACAUAUAAAAUUAAUAAAUUACCAAACAUUCGAACAAAUAGUUCAGUACAUAAUUCAAAUACAUUUGACAUUUAUCAAAGAAAUGCUGGGUGUUAUCAUCUAGGCAGAUAGCUGGAUUAACAUUUGGGGAAAGUUAUCACCCAUUUUUGAUAGGAAUCUCAGGGAAAUGUCCUGCAUCUCAUAGUCAUUGACGAUUGUAUGAAGACUUCCUACAGUUCGGAAAUCUCUUAGAAUGGGAUCUUAGAGAAAAGCCUGCCAACUAGAGGAUUUGUUAAACCAUGGACUUUCAAGUCACCAGAAGGACAAUGAAAGAAAAACUUUUAAAUAGAGAUUGAAGAGAGGAAAAUACAGAAAAAUAAGAGGUGGUAAGUUAUAGUUUUAAAAAUUCUUUUAAGGGGAAAACUCUCCAAAUGAUAUUUUCUAGUAGACUUCCAGAAAUUAUCAGAGAAACAUGCUUGGCCUUUGCACCCCACAUCAGGCCUCGAUGACAGGUAACCAGCAGGCUGCUAAUCACUGACCCUUUCCACCUUCUUCUUCUUGCUCCUGCCCUGGCUUCCAGUUGGGUCUGGCCAAGGGAACAUACCAGCAAGAGAUGAGAGAUAGGAGGAAAAAAGAGUGUUUCUUCCUGUCCAUCCCUGUUUCAUCCAGGUAGUGUGAAGAAAUGAUCCCCCAAAAAUCCCAGGUUAUGGUUUGCCCCUUUCAGUAUUCUGUCUCCUACCCAGCAGCCCUACUUCUCCUGAGCUCCAGCUCACACUCCAGCAACACUCUUUCCUUUCUUUCUGUCUUCUUCAGGGGAGUGGGAGGCUUACAGUCUGUGGCUUCUCAGAAUCUCAUGUUGUGCCCUCUGACCCUGCCAACACUUUUUCUUUAAAAUCUCUCUCUUUGAACUGAUUUCAUUCUGCUUCCUCUUGGGAGCUCACAAAUACAGUGUAUCAGUAGAAUAUUUUACUACAUCUUCAGAACCAAUAUAUUUGAUACAUUUUAUCUUUACUGGGGAACCAUUAGUUGUUUAAUCAUUAGUUGUAUCAUAGAAAAAAAUUCACUAUGAAUUAAACCCUGAUUUAUUACCAAUUCGGAUAAUUACAUGACAUCACCAAAAUUAUGUACUUCAAACAAAUCUAUUUACCAUAAAUUUUAAGAAUUAACUACAGAUAAAUGGAAAUUUAUGUAUGCAGUUUUAAAUUAAAGUUAAAUGCUAAAGUAUUCUUUUUUUUUUUUUUUGGUACUGGGGAUCGAACUCGGGUCCUUGCACUUGCACAGCAGGCGGUGAAACCACUAAGCUAAAUCCCCAGCCCUGUUAAAGUAUUCUUAAAGUAGAAGAUGCUAAGUUUCCAAGUAAAUUUCAUCCUAUACUCUUGCAGCACAAAAUGUGUCACUAUCUUGAGAAAUAGCAUAUUAUUUUGUGAAUUCAUAAGCCUAUUUUGAGUAUUUAAAAUAUGAAAACCUUACCAAAAUGUGUUCUGUUAUUGGGAAAGCAUGACAACUCUUGCUAGCCAAUGUUUUAAGCUUAUAAACUUAUCUGUGCAUGUUCUAAACAAAUAACAAUUUCUUAUUGUUAUUAUAUAAAAUAUGUGAUGUUUUAGAUUUUAAAAUACCAGAUUGGAAGCAAGUGACAAUGAAGUAUGUCUCACUGUUUAGAUACUUGUAAGCGAAUCCUUUUAGUCACUCAUUUAAUUUAACAAUCCUUUUUAUACCUAUUGCCCGGUAUUGUUUGAGGUCCUUAACAAAAUAGUACUAGAGGCAACAUAAAGUAAUUAGAAAGUAAUCUUUAACAGAUAAGCUACCCAUACAUAGCAAUAAAAGCUAGGGAAAAAAAAUCAAUGAAAGUAUCUAUUCAAUCAUACUGUUUCCUGGUCUAGAAGAACAGGUUAGGUGAAUUUCUGUUUUCCUCUGGUUGUUGUGGUAACAUACUAUAUAUUGUAACAAUUUUAAGUAAUUAUAGAUGCACCAAAAUUUAUCUAUGGCUUUGUCACCAUGUUAUACAAUACCUCAUUUAAAAUGAAACUGGUGUCUAUAUUUAAUGUACCAGUAUCAAGAUAGUAGUAUAUUAUUGAGAUGAGAUUUCUAUAGCGUUUUUAGGUAACAACUAGAAUUUUGGAAUGCCAUGCACCCUGACUAUCGAACCUUAAUUGCUAUUGAAUCAACUGCCUAUAUUUUACAGAGGCCAAGAUGGGGUAAGUUCCUUUGACACCAUGCACACAAGACAGUGGUUCUUGUGUAGUGGCUCUAAAACCAGAAUGGAAGGAAGGGCUAAAGUCUCACUCCAGUGCUCGUUAGGUAAGAGCACUCUGAUAAGCUGUACAACCUCUACAUUUAGUUUCCUCAUCAACAAAUAACAAGCAUCUACCUUAAAGGCUGAUUGUAGAGCGAGAAUGAGAUCAUCUGUGCAAUUAUCCCCCACCUUGGCAUGGCUGGUCUCCACCUGAGUGCUGCGCUCCCCCUCAGGUACUCAGGUAGCAGGAAUGCCACAGGUAAGCCCCAGGUAUGUUCUCUACUGCCCCAUGCUUGCUCCAGACUCAUCCUCAGGCCCAGUGAGCUCACCUUGCCCAGACAAUAAUGUCUUUCUUUAAUAUUGAUGAAUAUGUUCCACAGAAAAUUCUUGUCCCCUAAUUUAAAAGAAAAAGUAUUUGUCUCCUUCAGUAACAGUGCACACACAGUUGGCACAAUUUCACAAAAAUACCACAUACUGAGUUUUUUCUAUACUUAUUCAACAAAUGCGUAUUGACUACCUACCAUGUGACCAGUUUUAUUUGUUGUAGGAAGUAGAUAUGUGUCAGUGAACAAAGCCAGCAAAACAUCCUGCUGUCUGUAAAAGGUAUCAGAGAAAAACAUUUGAUUUUGUAGCAAUCAUAUUAUUCUCCUGAUAAAUUUUAUCACUUUCCUGCUAAUGUUAAAUCUCAUUAAUCAAGGUGACCACCUAAUCCAGGCAGCUACAGAAUUAUGAGAUCCAUGAAUUUUUUUUCUUGAAACAUCCUUUUUAAAAUACCUCACAACUCAAGAUUUGGCUGUUUUCUAUACGACAUUUAAAUUUUUUUCAUUUCCACCUAGGGAUUUAAUUGGAAAAUCAACAUUAUGUAUUUUAUGUUGUCAUUUCUGUUUUUAAAAUUAAGCAACUCCAAGGAUUAUAAGCCGGGCUGCCUGUAAAUUAAAGGUGAAAGUAGUUGUAUUGUUACCUUUUGUCAUUUGAGAGUGGUUUCUGGGUGUUAGGAGAAGUUUUUAAAAUAAAUUUUGAUGUGGCCUUUAAAUAUUCCUUUUAAAAAAAUAUUCCAUUUCAACAUGUACCCUCAGAGGGAAAACUCUGAUAUCUGUCUUUCUGGCUGAGCCUUCCUCUCCUCCCUGCAUCAGCGAACCCCCAUCUUGCCAGUCUGACCUCACAGCAUGCUUUGGAGAUCUUCCAUUUCCCCACGUAUAACCGUGUGAACACUUUCUGUAUCUCUUUUUUCACAAAUGAGUACUCACUUCCCAACCCGCUUGGGGAGUAGGGAAGGGACACUCUGACAUUGUGCUUGUGUAAACAUAAUUGAGAGCUUUCCAUGUCUCUGGCAUCUUUGUAAAUGAUUUUUUGUAUAAUGCUGGGACAGUGGUUCUUUAAAUAGAAUAUUCUCCCAUGGAAAUCGCCCACAAUGCUGAGAGUACACCUUGCCAAAGGAGUCUCGAAUAUAGGAUGCACCCUCACCAUUGCCCAGAAGCUGAAGUUAGGGCUUUCUGGAUAUCAAAACCAAAUUUAUAGCAGUUCAUUAAUGAAAGGAAUCCUGAAAACAGUGUGCCACCAUUACCCAUAGAGGAAACAAAGGGCUCAGACGUGGAGCUCUGAAGAUGGAGGCAUUCACGAGGGCUUGCAUUUGUUCUGUAGAAACCCACUUGCUUGUUUUGAACCAGUUUUCUUUACAGCAUAUGUCUCACUGUGCAGCCAAAAGGGUGCUUAUCUGCUAGUCAAAACUCAUGUCAUUUCCUCGGGAUGAUGCAUGUUAGGACCAAAGGAGAGAGCUGAUGAAGAGACAGAGUGUGGUGGUCUAAAGAGAUGCCCCUACUGCAAAUUUAGUUUUUCUUUUGUUUCCUCGUGAUACUGUUGUAAGAUGCAGCUACAUAUUUUUACUAGAGGAUAAAUGUAGAGACCUAACUCAAUGUGGUUGUUCCUACUUAUUGUAAAUGAAUACAUGUUUGCUUCUGUCCAGUGAGAUGAAAAGUACUUGGCACCCUUCAUAUCUCCAUUGCCCACUGAAUUAUUUUAACCAAAAUACAUUUCUCCAUGUUUUUGAGACAAUUUCCAAGUGAUUGUCCUCAAAAAGUAUGAUAUUAAAUGUGAAAAAACAAUCCAAAAUUAUUUAUGAUGUGUUUUUGAAAUUAUAAUAUUCCUGUGAACUUUAUUUAUAGACGACAACUGGGAAAAUGUAUAUUAAUACAUUGGUUUAUUUUUCUCUUUGGUUAGAAUUACGAUUUCUUUUAACCUUUUUUUAUAAUUCCGGUAUAUUCCCACUCCCACACCUCAAUAAAUGUAUUUUAAUACCGUUUUCUUGAAUGCCUAAAAGGAGAGUUUCUUUUUAGUAAUAUUAAAAUUUACAUAAUGUCUUUUGGUAACAUCAAGCAUUUUUUCCCUUUCUUCAGCCUUGCAAACAACAUACGAGGAUGCUUAUAGAAGCACCACUCAGACAGGCCCUUGUUUGCUUUCACACAAAUCAUUUGUUAUUAGAAGUGGAAAUCUUUUCUUCCCAACACAAAUACAUCUCUUUCGAAAGUAAUUCUCUUUUGUGAAUGAUAUUUAAUGUCUAAGAAACUAGUAUACAUUUUAUUAUGUGCAUUUCCCUAAUCAUUUAUUUUAGGGGAUGGACUCAAGGUUAUAUGUUUAAGAAAAGCAUCAGGUUAAUCCCAUUAGGAAAACCAUCUUAUUCAUAAACCUUUAACCAUUGAUAAAAUCAUCAUUAGGAGGCUGCAUAGGCAUGUGUGGCUGGAUAGAAUUAAUAAUGUAUUUGACAACUGACAAAACAGAGCAAUAGCCUACAUUUACAGAAUGCUAUCUACUGAAAACCAGUAAAGCUUUCUCAGACAAAUGUAGUUCACCUCAACAUGAGGCUUUAAGAUGCUUAUUAAUAGCAUGUGUUUGGAUGUCUAAAUAUUGUAUAGCAGAGGUAACCUGACUGGCCCAAGGUCACUUGCUGGCAGAGGUAGCAUCAUUUUCUGUCUCCCAACUCUUUCCUACCACACUGUCCUUCAGAAGGCACUCUGCUUGCUCACAUGACAGUGAUGUAGUAUUGUAGCUAGUAGUUAGCUCUAAUUUAACCUUAAAUAUGGUGGGGGGUUUUCCUUUAGGCAAUGAGAUUUAAUUCAAAAUAUAAAUCUUUUAAUGAUUUAUUAGUAUAUGUUUAUGAUAUAUUGAUUAUAUUUAUCUUAAAAAUGAUAAACUUCUCCAUCUUUUUUCUUCUUUCUCCUCUUUUGUCCCUACAUGGUGUUCCAUAUAUGUUGCUGCCAGAACAGAUUAUUAGCUUUUCUUUUUUUUUUUUUUGGUACUGGGGAUCGAACUCGGGUCCUUGCACUUGUGAGGCAGGUGGCAGAGCCAUUGAGCUAAAUCCCCGGCCCUAGCUUUUCUAUACCUUUUAAUUGUUUUCACAGAUGUUAACAUGGCAACAAUUACAUUUCUGCUUUUAAAAAUUGUUACAGGGAUGCACAGAAAAAAAGAGGAAAGCAAAGGAAUAAACUACAAGCAAUUACACUCUACCAGGUACAGCAUUCACACCCCAAGCCUGACACUAGACUCUGCUGCUCCCUCUGGAAAUUGAUGUGGGCUUCAGUGCUGCUGCUGCCACAGCCAAAAUUGAGUCCCUGCAGUCUUGGCUUGUCCUGUGUCAUGCCAAGAGUCAACAGCAUCUGAAUGGUUGCACCUAGAUCACGUCUGAGCCCUAGCUGCAAGGGAGGCUGGGAAAGUGAGCAUCUGACGCCUAUGGAAUUGUUGGUCUCUGCCUCCUGUCAGUACUCAGGAGGUAGAGAAAUCCACAGCCAAGAGAUCACUUUAGAUGCUGGGUGAUGUCAAGGGUAACAGAAGGUGCAAAAAGGAUGACAAGUCCCCACUAGAACUUUCUUUCAAUACUCCUAAGCCCUAAUUAAGAGCUCCACUCAACAUGUAUCUAGGACAUGGCUGGAAAAAGCCUUGUGCUCAACUUUGAGAAGAAUUAAAUUAAAGGAAUGAUUACUAAGGGUGGGCAAGGUCUAGAGAACCACAAGAGACAGUGCAGCACUCCAGAACUGGCAACAGUAGGGAGCUUUCAACAUCCUGGGCCUGAAGAGGCAAGGGGAGGAAGCAUUUCCCAGAGCCAGAGGCAGGACUGCCUAACUGUGUGGAGAGAAUCAUUUAAAAUAAACGACCCAGCCCUGGGCACCUCCUCACCAAGAGGACAAGAGGAGCAAAUGCCACUCCUUCCUUUCCUGUGGUUCCCUGUUGAAGCUCCCCACCAGCCUGGCCAGAGACCAGAGGGCCAGGGAGCACAUGCAGGUAUGAGCUGCAGAAGAAGACUGGAGAGCAAAUGUGGAGAAAUAAACAGAAGAGGUUCUGCACUUACGGCUUCAUCGAUAUGUCACUGGCAUUUUUUCUUUUUUAAAUUCAGUAUCUCCUUUGGGGAUGUCCCUUUACAUUUUCAGUAGCUCAGCCCACAAGAUCAAUGGACUUAAAAUGUUCUUCUCAUCCUGAAUUUAACGAGAUGCUAUUUCCCCCUUGUUUGCUAUUUAGAAUGUUCUAUUGUAUGGUUCAACAAUCUGCACCAUUAAAGGUUAGCAAAUCCCAACCAGGACAUUUUUUUUCCCUUUCUGGGCUUGGGGAAAAAGGAGAAGAGGUGUGACCUGCACAGACAGCAUCAAAAAUCUCCUUUUCUGAAUCUUCCUGCAGAAAUCCUCUCUAUGUAUUGUCUCAGCACAGGAGAUUUCCUGUUGUUCAUCCCUGCCUCCUCCUCAUUAAUAUCCAGCCUUUUAAAUAAAGCAUGUACAAGAAUAGUCAAUAAAAUAAACCCCACAUGAUUACCAACAGUUGCAGGCCCAUGAGUUCCCCAAGGAUUCACCCACUGUAACCCCUCAUCCUUUGAAAGUACAUGAUAACUUGUGUUAGAGUAAUCAGUUAUUGGGCCAGGGAUUUAGCUCAGUGGUUCCAGUGCCUGCCUCCCAAGCACAAGCUCCUGAGUUUGAUCCCUGGUACCAAAAAAAAAAAGUCACCAGUUAUUUAGUUUGGGAAAGAAUACCAAGGGGAAACCUUCAUCAUCAUCUUCAAGUAUAUGAUGUGUUCCUUCCCAGAGUAUGGAAAGCAAGUGUUUUCCCUGUCCUCAAUCAAGGGAGUGAGUACAGCACGAGGAAUAAAAUAGAAAUAAAAUAAUAAAAUGGUUGCACUUUGAAACUACAAUGUUAAGUGAAAUAAAUCAGACACACAAACUUGAAUAUUGCAUAGUUUCUUUUAUGUGAGAAAUUCAAAAUUUAAAUAAAGAACAAAAUAACAGAUAAUAGGAAGAUAGAUCAUUCUCAAAUGGGAAGGGGAUUAAGAGAGAAGGAGAAGGAGGGGAGGAUGCUGAAAAAAUUAAGAUGUUUUAUGUAUGUGUACCAACUCCACACAAAAAUGUAAACAUUAUGUAUUACAAACAUACUAAUAAAAACUGAUGAAGAAAACAAGCCUACAGCUGGGCAAAAUCAUUAACCACAAAGCCUAUUUUGCAAUAAAAUGUUGAAUAUUUGCCAAAAAAUAACAUUAAUAAAAGUCUUACUUUAAAAUGCAAAUGAAACCAAAUGUGGCAGCACACACCUGUAGUCCCAGCCCUCUGAGCAACUGCAGCAGGAGGAUCACAAGUUUGAGUCCUGCCUGGGCAACUUAACAAGAGCCUGUCUCAAAACACAAAAUAAAAAAAGCUGAAGAUGUAGAAUAGUGCAAAGGCCCUAGGUUCAAACCCUAGUACUACCACUAAAAAAAAUUGCAAAUGACAGAGAAAUACACACAGCAAAGUUGACUUCUAUGCUCUGGAAGUUUGAGCUAAUUAUUUCUAAAAUUAUUCAGGUGCUUUCACAUUUACUACCUAAAUUUUCUUUUGUUGUUGCGAUUUUUGCCAUGGCAUUCACUAAAAUUUGUUUCUUUAAAUAUUUUUUCUUAGGCUUCAUGUUGCAUAUAAAUGUAAAUUUUUGUCAUGUAGAUUGUCUCGUUUAACUUCCCUCAAAUAUCCAGCUGGCAGCUGAAUACCUCAAUUUGGAUUUCCCACCAACAUGUGCCACACUUACAUGUGCAGUUCAGAACCAGCAUGUGCAAUGCCGUGGUACCUUGGUUCACAAACUUAAUGUGUUUUAUGAUUUGGGGGAAGAUGGCUGCGUUUGUGUUUGUGUGGGGAACAUGACCAUGGUUGUGUUACCCAAUGUGGAGUUUGUGAACAGAAGCAAAGUCUUAUGUUACCACUUGUACAAUUCCUCUAUGGUUGGCUAUCACCCUUGGGUUACUGAAAAGCAUGGCAUGGCAUUCAAAUCUUUGUCCCUCAUUGUUCGUCUUGCUCCCCAGCCCAUAUCUCAUUGCUUCAUGGACUCUGAUCACUCUGAGCCACUUGAUAUUCCAUACCACUCAUGGGGAGCCCACACAUAGACACCAACAUGCUUUUGCACACACUUUUCCCUCAGCCUGAGUUGUUCUCCAUCCCAUCUGGCCUGGAGACCUUCUCUUCACCCUUCUAGUCCAAACACAGUCACUCAUUGUGUACUUGCAUUGUUUCUUGUGCAAAUAAUAGGGCAGAACAUCUGGCCAAAGGCUCCUGAUGGUCCAGCUGAGAAGUAGUGCAGAAGACUAGAUGAUGGCCAGGGAAAUGGAGUGGGCAGAGUCUAGGGUGGUGAUGGCAAACCUUUUAGAGCUUUCAAUGAUAACAAACAGCUGGCUGCAGCAUGCAUGUCAUAGAUUCUCCUCCACUAGUCUAGGGCAUACUCUUUGUGUAGAGUUUUCUAGACCUUCUGAUGGGUUGGCUGUGGGGACAAGAGGAGAGAAGAAAUCCAAAUCAGAGCAGGCAGCUCCAUCAGCAGGAACAAAUUACAGGGAAAACUACACCCUGGGACCCAACUUCAGUAAUUAUCACCUCUGUGUCAGUCUUGUUCCUUUACACCCCAACCUCCUUCCUCCUGCUGCCCAGCCCCACCCACACAAUGGCUUAUUUUGAAGCAAGUGCCAGACAUUUUAUAAUUUCACCUGUAAAUAUUAUGUCUGUAUUUCUAAAAUAAAAGAACUCUUUUUAAAAAAACAUAAUACCAUUAUCAUUUCUAAAAAAAAUUACUGAAGAAUGUAAACAAACAAAACUAAUACUAGUACUUUAUAUCAUUGGGUAUACGGGUAUACAGUACAUUUAGCAAUUACGUUUUCCCAAUGUGUUAUUUGUUGUUGGUUGUUUGUUUGAAAUGGAAUCUAAAUUGGCCUAUAGACAGUAUUGAUUUGUUGCUGUGUUUCCUAACUCCCUUUUAAUCUCUUCCCCCCUUACCUUUGUCUCUUCCAGUUUGGUUGUUGUCAUUAGUAAUGUUGCUGUCACUGAAGAAACUGGAUGUUCGUUCUGUACAAUGUUAGAAUUUCCUGAUUGCAUCACUGUGGUGUUGUUUAACUUGUUCUUGUGUCUCCUCUAUUUCCUGAGAAUUUAUUUUAUCAGAAACGGGAGUUUUGUUGCUGUUGUUGCCUUGGGGAAGGUCAGCAUGACCAUUUCAUAGAUGGUGUUUUAUAUGUUCAUCAAGAAGCUUAUCAUGUCUUAUUAUCUAUUUUUGUGAUGUUAGCAACCAUCAAUGUUUAUUACCUAUAUCUAUUCAUUUAUUAGACCUGUCAAAGUGGCAGUAUUCUGAUUGUAUCUUUUUUUUCUUCAUUUUCUGAGUGAGAUGUUCUGGAAAGAGGACAGUUCAUACAGAAAAAAUAGUAGAAGCUAUGUGUUUUAUAUUCCCCUUCAUAUACCAAUUUUCUAAAUAAUGAGUUGUUCCCAGGGGCCAGGGAUGUAGCUCAGUGGCAUUGUGCUUGCCUCGAAAGCCCAAGGUCCUGAGUUUGAUCCCUGGUACUGGAAAAAAAAAAGAGUUAUUCCCUGUCAUCUUCCAAAGGUCAUGAAUGAAUGAAUGAAUUUACUUUUAUUUUAUCAUUAAUAUUAUUAAGGGAUUACUUGCUAAAUAUGUUUAUAUGUAGAUUGCAGUUAUAUUUAUUGAUAUCUAAAUUAUUCUGUCUUUGGUCAAUGGAAGCCAAAUCAAGUCAGCUCUAAACUACUUCUGAUAUGACCCUAAUUUCUUUUACAAGCUUCCUCCUUUCUGGUAUGUUUCAAGUUCAUCUUGUGUAUUUCCUGCUGCAGACCUGGAAUCAGCCAUUUCUCUUAGAAUUUCCAGGUUCCUUUCAAUGGGAAAUAUUGUUUAGAGACCACAAUCUGGGCAGUAAGUACACUCAUCGCUUCUCAGCUAGUUACUAUUUACAGUGGGCAAAGACAGAAUAUGUGUGUGUGUGAUUUUUUAAAGAAAUUGCAUGUCCAAUUCAAAUUCAGGAUAACCAUGGAUAUCCAUAAAGUGUCUUCUUUCUCCUGUGACGAAAAUCUCAAUUCUAAACAAUCCCAAUGUAAUUUCCAGUUUUCUCUAUUUCAUACUACACAAAAUCAACUUCAAAAUAAUUAGACAAAAACUAAAUUAACAAUAAACUAACUAUAACAGUUCAGUUUUUUUUCUUUGUCUUUCAGGUACAUCCCACUGCGGAUUAUUGUCAAAUUAAUGUAUUAUAGGAUCACUGAGAAUAGUUCCUCUGUGUGUGGCUACACCACCAACUGGUUACAUAGUUAAUUUCACUUACUUUGCUUUACAUUUUUAAUAGUUCCUUCUUAUAACUAUGAAAAUAUUUACCUGGUUGCAAAGUCAAAUAAAUCUACAAACAAGGUACAUUAAAAGCCUCAUUCUCUUUCUCUACAAUAUUAAAACAUGAUUUAUCCUCUUUCUUUUUAUAUGAGAAAAUAUCUCUACAUGCUUGUAUUCCUCUCCUCUUAGAGAAAUGACAGCAUACUAUAAACACUUCCUCCUCCUGUUUUCACUUAAUAGUACUUCUUAGUGGUAAAUACCAGUCUUUGAUUUGGGCUCUGGUUCACGGUACUUAAAUUUUCAGCAGAUAGCUGCAGGUUCUCACUCCUCUCUCACUCACGUGCCACAUGCGAACUGUCAUGGUUUAACUUCAGAAUCCAAGGCCUGACCCCUCUCACCACUCUCCUCUACCCUGCCAGAGCUGUCAGCUCUUACUGGAACCAUUGCAGUAGCUCCUCAUCACUGCUCUCCUUCAUCUACCCUCAGUGCCCUCAGGUCUGUUCUCAGCGAGUCAAAAGAGCCAAAGUCUUACUCACCUUUGGGAGCUCGCACCUCAUCCUUUUCUCUCCCCACUCCACUCUGGCCACACUUGCAAUGGCUAGUGGGCUCAUCCUCCUUGUAUCUGCAAUGCUCACUCUCUCGCCCCCUUCAAAUUGUUCUUCAAAGUAGCACCUUCACGGUGAACUUUACUCUUCCCCCUUCUAAAAUUGCAGCCUGACCCAUCCCCACCUCAGCUUUCCUUUGGCCUCCUCUAUUUUCCCAUACUACUUAUUACCUUCUGUCAUGCUGAAGAAUGGUUAUUGUCCAUUCAUUUAUUGUUCUCCACUGGAAUGUACAUUCUACAGGGUAUGGAUCUUUAUCUGUUUUGCUCACUAAUAGAUCCCCACUGCCUAGAAAAGUGCCUGGCACAUAAUAGGCACUUAGUAAAUAUUGUUGAAUGAAUGAAUAAAAACUUUCUUAACUUCAACUGAUAAAGUUACCAAACUGUGGCCUAGUGUUACAGGAAUAUUCAGAACCACAAUGACCAUCUGACCCAUAGGAGAACAAGGACCCUUUUCCAGUGACCAGAACAUUACUUCUUCCUCUGCCAUAUCCUGAGGCUCUGCAUAUGAGAGUUGAUGAGGGUCAUGUGAUACUUUUCUACUAUCACACAGCUGAAAGAUAAUAACAACUUACUAUUUAUAUGGUUUAUUAUGUUAAUGUAAGUUUUACAUAUACUAAUUAAGUCAUUUGAUCAAUAAAACAAUCCAGCAAAGACCGUUUUAUGAUUUUGCUCAUUUUAGAAAUGAAGCCACUGAAGCACAAAUAGAUUUUUUUUUAAUUGCUUAUAACUAAUAAUUUAUUUAUGGUAGAAUUAGGACCAGAAUCUCCAGGGAGUUUGGCUCUAGAACUCAUGCUUUCAAUUAGUACUAUCCAACAGGUUUUGGGCAAUGAUAGCAAUGUUCCCUAUCUGUACUGUUCAGUAUGGUGGCGCUAAAGCAGUGAUGGUGAACCUUUUAGAGACCAAGAGCCCAAACUGCAACCCAAAGUCCAUUUAUUUUUUGUAAAGUGCCAACACUGCAAUUAAACAUGAAUACUGAGAGUUUAGUUUAGAAAAAAAACACCUCAUACCCUUGGCUUGCAUUCCAACAGAGAGGGCUCUGUGUGUCCACUGCGGCACAUGUGCCAUAGGUUCACCACCACUGGCCUAGAGUCACAAGUGGCUGUUGAACAACUGUAAUGUGACUAAUUCAAGUGGAACUCAAUUUCUAAUUGUACUUAGUUUUAAUUUCAGUUUAAAUAAGAAUAUGUCAUUACUGUGUGGAAAGCUCAACUUUAAGCCAAUAUAGUCUUGUGCUUUUUAGGUAUGAUUGACAGAAUAUCAAAGAAGUUGUAUAAGGGUUUGUUGCAGUUGUUCUUCAAAUCCAAGGGUACAUCUUUGUGGGAUUCUAAGAAAUGGCUAGAGCCAAUGAACUUUAAGUCUCCCAGUGUCAUCUAUAACUUAUGGAACAUAUGGCUCUCUAAUUUCCAAGCAUUCUUAGAACAAAAAGAAAAACCAUAAAGAGUAUGUUGUCCAGAUACAUUAUGUUCCUUUUUGUUGAAAGAAAUAGAGGAUUAAAUUGUUCUGACUCUAAUUUGUCCUUAUUUAAGUGCAUACUUGUGAAGAUAAAAAUAAAGUUAAUCAUAAGAGGUAGAACAUGACAUUGCAGGUUCAAUUGAAAAUUGCAAGUUAUAUUUCUAUUGAUGUUUAAAUUAUAUUUUUUAUUUUUGAAAAAUAUAUAAACUAAUUUUUAAAAAAAGAUGGGAAAAGACUAGACAAAUUUUACCAUCUGGAAUUAAUCACUGGCAUAUUUUUCCCUGUGUAUAUGAAAAAUAUAUGUCUUUUUUCUGUGUAUACAGUAUUAUUUGAAUUAUACAAGUGAUAUAUGAAUUGUGUUAGCUUUCUGUCACUGUGAAAAAUACCUGAGAAAAUCAUCUUAGAGGAGGAGAGAUUUAUUCUGGCUCACAGUUUCAGAAGUUUCUAUACAUGGUCCAUGGCUCCUUUUCUUUGGGACUGAGGUACAGCGGAACAUCUUGACAGAAGGACAUGGUAGAGGGAAGCUGCUCACCUCACCAUAGCAAAGACACAGAGCUGAGACUGCACUGGAAGCUUCUGUCUUAUUUCACUCUUGUUCUAUCCAAAUGCCUAACCUAUUGGCUGGUGCCACCCACAUUCAGGGUGGGUCUCUCCUCACUGCGUGCCUCACAUGCCAUGUCUCUAGAAACUCCCCACAGACAAACCCAGAAGUGGGCUUGACUGAUCUCCCAGGCACUUCUCCAUCCAAGUUUACAAUCAAGAUUAACCCUUACAUAAAUUCUCCCUUUAAAAAACACACAUUAUUGGGCCAGGGGUUUAGCUCAGUGGUUCCAGCCCCUGCCUUGCAAGCGCAAGGUCCUGAGUUCAAUCCCCGGUACAAAAAAAAACAACACAUUAUUGAUAUUCUCUCUCUCUCUCUCUGUCUUUCCAAACACUGUCCUUUCCCUUUUCAGAAAGCAACAAUAUUCUGAACUUGGUGUGUAUCCUUCCAGCCCAUUUUGUAUACUUUUAUUCUUCUAUGCAUAUAAAGCACAUGACUUUUUGGUGUGGAGUAUUUUUAAUCUUUAUAUGAAUGAUUUUACAAUGUAUUUCAUUCUGUAAUUUUUUUAACUUCUCAUUGUUUUUGAACUGUUAUACCAUGUGAGCAUACCACAGUUUAGUUGUCCAUUCUUUGGCUUAUGAGUACUUAGGUUAUGUCCAGAUUUUUAUUAUUUCAAGUCAUGCUGCAGCAAAUGUCUUUGUGCAUAUCCUCUGUGCAUCUGUGUAAGUAUUUUUCUGGGCAUAUAAUUUUAAGAUCACAAAAUCUGAUCAUUUUCCAUAUCACUAGGUACUUUGAAAACACCUCUAAUCGAUUGGGCCAUUUCCAUUCCUCUUGGUAGUGUGUAAAAGCAUUCAUCUGCUGCACUUGUGCCAAUAUCUGAUGCCAACUUUAAAAACUUUGCCCAUCUGAAAUAGCUACCUUAUUGUGAUUUCAGUUUGUGUUCCCCUAAUUAUAUAUUUUGUUUUGUUUUGUUUUGGUACCAGGGAUUGAACUUGGGACCUUGCGCUUGCAAGGCAGGGGACAGAACCACUGAGCUAAAUCCUUGGCCCUGUGUUCCCCUAAUUAUAAAUGAGGUUUCACAUUCUGCCAUGUUUAGUAGCCACUUGAAUUUCCUUUUUUUGUCACAUCUAGAAUAUAUCACUUAGGUUUUUGCUAUUGAAUUAUUUAUCUUAUUGAUUUGCAGGAGUUCUUUGCAAUGUCUGGUGAACAAUCUUGCUUACUAGGAAUGCUACAAAUAUUUACUCCUGGUCUACAGCUUGUCUUUAAACCUUCUUAUGAUUUAAUUUGUCAUGCAGAAGUUUUAAGUUUUAGACUUUAAUUAUGGCUUCUAGCAAACUUCUGUCAUUCUUGUUGAACUGACAAGCCUUACUAAAUCUUCAUGUGUUAUAUUCUAGAAGAGAUUAAACAAAUGUAUAGCUUUCUGAUUUGUUGGUUGAUUGCUAUGUCUGAGAAAAAAUUUUUCUUGUGCCUAUUUAUAGCAUUUUUCUUAAGGGACAAAGUUUAUUUUUAUGUCAUUGUGAAAUGUUUUGCUGUGGUGGUAAUGAUUUUUUGAUAUCUAAUAAUAAAAUGUUAACAGUGGUAAAAGCCUUGUAAUAGAUUUUAAAGUAAGAAUUGAUUUUGCUUUUCAUUGCUUGCUCUUUGAAAGUGUUUCUUCAUGGCUCCUUUUUUUUUGGACUUUUUAGUUACUGGGAUCUUCUAUCUAAAAUUAUGCUCAAAAUAAAUUUCAUAUGUUUAAAAAUUAUUUUAAAUAACAUCUCUCUUCAGACCGAAAUCACAGCAGACUGAAGCCUGUUUACCAGCUUUGAGUCCUGGCUCUACCACCUGCUGCAUAGAAACAGUAGGCAAGCCACCUUAACUCCUUGUUUCUCAGUUUCCUCUGCUAUAAAAUAGGGUGAUACUAGAGCAAGACUCAUGGGAUUGCUGAGAAGGUGAAGCGAGUCGUAACUCAUCAGAAGGCUCUAAAGCAGGGCACAGCUCAGGGAAAGCACGUGAAGGAGGUUGCCGGUCUGAUCCCUCAGAUGGCUUAAGAUUCUUAGAAAUGAAAGGAAACAUGUAGAUUUAGUGCUCUCUGAAAAACAUUCCAGUUAAAGACCAGCUGAAUUCUUUAAUUGUCAUUUCAUAUUCCAUUAAUGAUUCAGAAAAAUAGACAAAUGCUAACACAGCUGCACCCAGCCGAUCAAUGCCAAACUAUCUUUUAUAGAUUCUCCAUUACACACUUUAAACUACCCUAGCUCAGUGCUUGCUUACUCCAAAUACUUAAAAAGCAAUUUGAAAGCAAACACAAAGCCUCACAGAAGACAUAUACAUCUCAAAGAGCCUGGCCCUUCACAAGUGUGACUGUAUUGUCAUCUGUCUUCUCUGCUCCCACAAGUCAGUGUGCUCUAUGAAGGCCAAGGCAGGAUAUUGGUAAAAUCCACUUGUUACUGUGUGUUUAGCAUCAGGCUGGUCCCUUCAUCCUUUGUGUAAGUUGACAACAUGAUGUUUUGAUAUAUGUUCACGCUGUGGAAUGAUUAAAUCACACUAAUUUAAAAAUCCCUCACCACACACACUACCUUUUAAUAAAAAAGUUUAAAAUGUAAUACUUUAUUGAUUUAGAAUGCACAGUCCACUAUUAUUUCAGUCACCCUUCUGUGCAGUAGAGCUCUAAAGCUAUUCCUCCUAACAUGUUUUGUAUCCUUCGAUCAGCAUUUCUCUUUUCCCCUUCCACUCCACUGCCCCAGCCUCUGAUAACAUUUUUAGAUUCCACAUAUGAGUGAGAUCAUGUGGUAUUUGUCUUUCUGUUUCUGGUUAUUUCACCUAAGAUCCUCUAGGCUCAUACAUGUGGCUGCAAAUGAUAGGAUUUCCCCCUUUAUAAAAGCAAAUACUGUUCAUAUCUUCACUGCAUUUCCUUUAUCCAUUCAUCUGCUUUGGACACAGGUUGCUUCCAUAUCUUGACCUUAGGGGUGGUGCUGCAAUGAACAUGAGAAUGCAGCUGUCUCUAGCAUAUUGAUUUCAAUUCCUUUGGAUGUAUACCCAGAAGUGGAACUGCUUGGUCACACAGUGGUUUUACUUUUAGUUUUCCAAGAUACUUCCAUACUACUUUCCAUAAUGGCUAUAUCAUUUUACAUUCCCAUCCACAGUGGAUGAGGGUUCCCUUUCCACACUCUCACCAACACUUGUCUCUUGUUCUUUUAUAAUAGACAUUCUAAGUGUGAGAAUUUGUCCUGCCAGACUCUGUGGCUGAUUGCCUGCCUGGAUUUGUACACAGGGAUGCUUUUCUGCAGCUCACCUUCGAGGGCUGGGCUCCGAAUGGGAAGAGCCACAUUUCAGAUCCAGCCCUCUUGCCCUAUAAACUGGAUAGUAAUUGACAUAAGCUUCAGAUUCUUCACCCCUAAGGGAGAAACGAUCAUGAAAGAUUGAGUGAAGUUAGCAUGUAAAGUGAUAAAAGAAUGUAGGCUUUUAAAUAAUGAGAGUAGAAUUUUACCAGACAUUACUUCAAUGACUCCAGCUGGAUAUUAAAGUGAACAUCAAUAUAUACAUAUGACAGGACCUGAACCAAAUAAUUUAAUUUUAGCAAUUCUAUACCCUCUCCAUAUCUUGGUAAAUCAUUUUAGAACGAGCAUGCUUCCCCUGUACCUCAGCUCCUCCAUUCAAGAAGGAUGCAAUAGGGGCUGUGAUGUUUUCAGAGCAUUAGUGGCUGAACUAAAACCAUUGUCUAUCCUCUAUUUUCCCUUGUGAGUGCAUAUGAGAUAACUGCUCUCGCCUGUUAACCCCCAGCAGAAAACCUGCCUGCAAACAAUAGCUUGCAAUCCCAGCAUGGUAUCCAGUGUUGGCAUAAAGGAUUCAGUGAGCAGAGCGUGGGGGUCAGCCUGCUGUUGGGCGCAGGCUGCUCUUGUUGGCACAGCCCUUUUGUGCAGGAUGUAGUCCUUGUUCUGCCACCUGUACCAGGCUACACACCAUUCUGUUUACUCACUGUCCUUGAACUAACAGGCUCCUUUCCCCUAGCCAUAAACAGAUUGGUGUGAGAGAAGCAUCUCCUACUGAGAGACUCACUUCUGCACUGACUCCUCUUUGUUAAUCUUCUGCAAAAUAAGGCAGUUUUCUGUUGAAGAGAAAGCAAUCAUUAAUUUUUCAUAAGAGCAGCAAAGUUGUGAAUAGUGGAGGACCUCUUGAAUAAAGAGCUUAGAGGUUCCAGAGAGAGGAGAAUAAUAAAGCUGGGUGGGGGUGGAAAGUGUGUUCUUUCUUGCACUGUUUAUCAUACCCUCCCCUUCCUCCUUGUUAAGAAGGAAGAAGCCAUUUACUGAAGCUAACAGUUCUUCAAAUCUCAGGAACCUUCAUUUUAAUCCUUAUCAGUGCUUUUUUAAAUGAAUAAUACAGUGACCUUCAGCUUUCUUCUGUAAUAUGCGAGGUUGAUUUGUAAAGACUGCUUUAGUUUUUUAAAUUAAGGCAGAUGCUGUAUGUAUUCUACUCAAUUCUAGCAUUAGUGUUGUCCCAAGUGUGGCAUUUAUGUUCUUUCAUUUCUUUGGUAUAAAUAAAUAUCAAAGUAGGAAGACCAGUGUGAACUCUACAAGGAAUAAUAAACUAAAAUAGUAUAGCAUUGAUUUUGUUCAGGAUGUCCAAGUGUGUUUUUAUGAUUGUGUAUGUUUAUAGCUUUUUUCACAGAAGUGAUAUGAGUUCUGGGCAAUUAAAAAGGGCAUGAAUUUUGUGCCAUUUAGGAAGAGAAUCUCCUUUCUAAUAGCUGAGCAUUCUACCAAGUUGUGGCUCUUAAGGAAGCACACAGAUUUCAUAAUUGUACUUUAAACUUGAGAGUUAUUGCCACUUUUAUUGUUUUACAGUAUUAUUACCUUGGCACCACAUUAGAGGACUUUAUUUUGGCUGCUGAAGUGCUGUAUUUGGAUGGAGCAGUUUAAUAAAGAAGCAAGGGAAGAUUCUUUUGCACUGUGUAUCUUAGUCACUUUUUCAUUACUGAGACAAAAUACUUCAUGUUCACAUCUUAAAGGAAGAGAGGUUUAUUUUGGCUCCUGUUUUCAGUCCAUGAUCAGCUGGCCCAAAUGGAGGAAUGCCAUGAUGGAAGGUUCUGCUGAAGAAACUACCCACAUGAUGGCAGCCAGAAACAGAGAGAGGAGGGAAAAGAUGGGGAGAAAGAUAACCCCUUUUAGGUCAUGUCUCCAGUAACCCACCUCUUCCAACCAGACUCCACCUCCUAACACCAAGUCAGUGACAGCAUCCUCAUAAUCCAGUCCCCUUCCCUUCUUCUGAACACAUGAGAAUUUGGAGGGAAAUUCUAGAUCUAAACCAUAACAUUCCACCCCUUCACAUGAGCCCAAAAGACUCAUGUACAUCUCUUUAUGUAAAAUGUAUUUAUCCAUCUCUAAGAUACACCAAAAUUGUAACAGUUCCUGCACUAUUGAAAUGCCCAGGUCCAAAAUCUCCUCUGAUACUCAAGGCAAACUCUUAGCUAUGAGCCCCUAUAAAGAUAAACAAGGAAAAUUAAACACUCCCAACAUGCAAUGGCACAGGAUAAACAUUCCCUUCCAAAGAGGGAAAUAGGUGGAUAGAAAGGAAUAGAAACAACGUAGCACCAAAACCCAGCAGGACAAACAUUAAAUCAUCUUCUUCCAUGUCCAGCACCUGAGGCAGGUUGUGGAAAGAUGUGAAUCCCAAAGGACUCGAGCAUCCCUGCACCUACAGCAUUGCUGGUUGCAAUCCUCAUGGCCUCUCUCUUGGGGUGGCUUCACUCACUAUCCAUGGCUUUCCUCAGAUUCUAUAUUCCUGGCUUCUCUAACUUCCUAGGAUCUUCAGUACACUUUUGACUUCACCCUAACCACUUCAUGCACUCCCCUCUCAGGGGCACACUGCCAGGCCUCUCAGAUCUUCUGAAGUCUGGGUGAAAAUCCCCUUGACCUCUUGCAUUGUGCAUGCCUGUAAAAUGAGCACCAUGUAGAUAACACCAGGGUCUGCCACCAACUCAAGCAGUAGCCAGCCCUGUUUGGAUCAUGGAUGCAGAGGCCUCUGAGUCCCCUGAUGACUGAGCACUGUGAAGAGAAUCCCAGGGAGCCAAUUCCUAGGUGGCCUUUCUUGAGCAAGGUGCCCUGGGGCUCUCUUCUAAAAAUGAAAGCUUUAUAGCUUUGCACUCCUGAGCCUAUGAUAGAUGGGGUCAUGUGAAUUUCUGGUAUACUUUCAACCUAUUUGUAGGCACUUUCUUCCUGAGGAAAUGGAAAACUUUUCAAAUAGGCUUUUUGCUCCUGAUUUUCAGUAUAGAUCUGACUAAAAGCUACCAGCAGUACCUGUGCCACAGCUUGAACUUUGGACUGCUUUGAAUUUUCCUCUGUCAGAUAUCUGGUCCAACAUUCUUAAUUUCAUACUCCCAGAAAGUCUCAGAACAUAAACAAAAUGUACACAAAUUCUCUGCCAGAGUAUAACACACAUGGACUCUGAUCCAUUUGCCAAAAGAGUCCUUUUUCCCAAUUGAAACCUCUUGAGCCUGGCCUUUUCUGUCUGCCUUAUUAUCAGCAUUCUGAUCUUCCAAGCGCCAAUCAGAAUCUCCCAUCAAGCUCAACUUACAACAUUCUAGGGUUGCUUCUCUAGCUGGCCUCUCCUCCAGUCAACCAGUUCCAAAGGCUUUGAAACCACAUGGUCUGAUAGUUGCAGCAAUGACCUCACCUCUGGUACCAAAAUCUGUCUUAGUCACUUGUUCAUUGCUGGCACAAAAUGCCUGACAGGCACAACUUAAAGGAGAGGUUUAUUUUGCCUUAUAUUCUCACUCCAUAGUCAGUUGGCUCAAAUGUAGAAACAGCAUGGUAGAGAAGUCUACUGAAGAAAGCUGCCCACAUCAUGGCAUCCAGGAAGCAGAGCAAGAAGGGAGGAGCUUAAGAAAGAGCUACACCUUUCCAGGUCAUGUCCCCAGUGACCCCUUCUUCCAACCAGACCUAACUCCUAACAAGUCAGCUACAACACUCUUGUAAUUCAAUCACCUUCCCAAAACCCUUCCUCUGAGCACAUGAGAAUUUGGGGUAACAUGCUUGAUCUAAAUCAUAACACUGUGCAUAUAUGCUUUUUUUCCAGUCCUUUCCACCACAGGUUCCUAGACUGUGGCUUUGAGUCUUAUGAGUGAGAUCUCAACAUUUUCUCAUCCUGUGAGGCAUGGCCUCCAGCAGCAUAUGAGCUCUGCACAGUCAUAGAGGAUUGGUCUGUAGAGGAGAGGGGAAGCCAUGUGGGCAGACAUCUAUUCCUGAGAAUUGAUGUUCUCAGAAAUUCAGUAAGAUAAUACACUAACUUCUCUGUCUCCUUCUCUGCAUUAGUGUUAUCCAACUUUUUGUUACAUUAAAUUAUUCAAAUAAUACAUAAAUACCAACUGCUUGAAAAUAAACAUUACAAAGAAGUUAAAGUUGGACCUCUCCCCCAAUACAAGUUCCUAUUUCCCUUCCUGUCUUCAAUACCCUCUACCCUUCCAGUAUCUAUUAUCAGUUUAGUUUGUAUCCUCUGAAAUAUGUUUUAUGCCUCUAAGCAUAGUACAUGCAAAUCAAUAGUAUUAAGCAACAGGAGAGCAUUGUUUCAAAAAGCCCUCAAAUACAGGUAUAAUAUUGAGUGUAUCUUUCUGCAACUGGCUUUUUAUUCAUUAAUAUUUCUUGAAGCUCUUUUCAUGUUAGUCCAUCUAUAUCUACUUCAUUAGUUUUAAUUGUUUUAUGUUAUUUCAUAGUGUGCCUCUGGUACAGUUUAGCUUUUCUCCUACUCAGGGGCACUUGUUUUUCCAGUUUUCUACUAUUAGAAAUUUCACUGUAGUAUGUGACUCCUUGUACACAUGAGUGACUCUAGGUUUACACCUACAGGUGAAAUGGCUGCAUCACAAAUUAUGCAAGUUUUAUAGUUUAAUAGAUAGGUUCAAAUUGCUCUCUACACUGGUGGUUUCCAUUUAUAUUCCUACUACAGGGCAUGUGGUUUCUGUCUCCUUACCAACUGUUAACAUUAUUAGACAUUAAAAUGUCUACUGCUUUAAUGGGUGGAAAAUAAUGUCUCUUUAUUUAAAUGUACAUUUCUCUUACUACUAAGGAGAUUGAACUACUUGUCAUGUUUAUUGGCUAUUGGUAUUUCCUUCCUGUGAUUUGCUUAUUCAAACAAUUUGACCAUUUUUCUGUUGGGUUAUUUGCCUUACUGAUUUGAAGAAGCUAACACAUGUGUGGAAUGUAUAUGUGUGCACUGUAUUGUGAUCCUGAUAUCUGUUGGAUAUAUCACAAUCUCCCAGAUAAUGGGCUGUCUUCUAAAUUCACUUAUGGUAUUUUUCCCUAUUGUCUAUGCUCUAGGCUUAUUUUUCUCAAUCUUCUUUUCCCCAAAUUUUGUUGUAGAUAUGCUGCAAUUAUUACUGUAAGCUAAUUGUACACUUGUUAUUUUCCCAAAUAAUCAUGUUAAUUUGAGGCUUAGAGCUGAGACUGUCCUGAUGACUUCUAUUGUCUGCCAUUCACACUUGCAGAAGAGUCUUACUUGGGGUGAAAAUGGUAACUGCUACUAAAACUCAUUGCCUCUGAUGGUAGAACAGCUUUGGUGUGAAACAUUUCUUCCAUGUAUGUAUCUGGGGUAAGGACUCGAGUUUGAAAGAAUGUAUGUGUGGAGAUGCAUUUUAUAUGUGGGGAGACUUUUUGCUUUGUGAGUCUUUUCUUUUUAAGGUAUAAUUGGGAAGUAAAAAACCCAGCUCAGCAGCUUACCUGCUCUCUACUAUUCACAAACUAUGGGCCCACAAUUCCCAAGGCUAUAUUCCAGGCUUUAUUGUAUGCUUUAAAUUGGAAUCUAUCUCAGAACAGUUACAUUUAAUUGGGAGAUUAUUAAAAACCAUGAGCAAAUUCAGGUUUUCUCACCCAGGAAAUGCUGCCAGUGACCAGCUUAAAUGAGGCCACUCUUCCCUUCAUGUUUCAUUGUCCAACCAGGAGCUGUCUGAGGAAGUUAAGCCAGAACAGAACUGUGAUUAGAUCAGUAUCCCCCAAACUUCAAGGAUUUGGAAACCAACUUUACAAAUUAUGAUGGUCAAUCCUGGUUGUCAAUUUGAUUGAUUUGAGAGAUGCCUAGAAGAUUAAUAAAGCACAUUUCUGUUGGGUCUUGGUAGGUCAUGGGGUUAUGAUCUUGGGCACUAUAUAAGUCCCUGUUCUCUUCAGGCUCUCCUGGUACUCUCUGCCUUCCAGAUGCCAUGAGUUGAGCAGCUUUCCUCUGCCAUAUCGUCCUGCUGUGGCGGGUCUCUGCCUUGGAGUCAUUGACCAUAGACUGAAAUCCUGAAAACCAUGAAGCUAAACAAACCCUUCCUCACUUAAGUUUUGUAUGUCAGGCACUUUUUCCCAGCAAUGGAAAAGCUAACUAAUACACAAAUAUUGCCUUAAUAAUUUCCUACUCUGCUGUUUGCUUAAUAUUCUUCUUAAGUCAUCUGUUUUUCAAUUAUACUUAUUUAAAAGGUCAAAUUUAUCCUUUAUUACUAUCACAAGUGGAAAAGUUUCAUUUGUCAUAUGUAACAUAAACAGCAACUAUGAAAGUAAAUAGAAACACAAGUAUUAGUAAACACAUGUAUUAGUAAAAUACUCUGAAAUUGAAGUCUGAGAAUGGGACCUAAUUUUAAAGGGAGAUUUAGUAACUACCAUAGAGAAAGAAGUUGAAUAUAUAAUGGUAGUAUUGCAGAUAGAUAACUUAAUUAGAUAUGUUGUAGGCACUUAGACAGGGCCAGCCCAGGAAGAACCAACAUGGAGGACAGUCAAGGAGCCAACAUGGAGGACAAUCAAUACACAUUCACUGAAGACCAGAAUUGUAAAAGGGGAGAAACUACAAACCCUUGUGCUUCCCCUGGGGAUAAAUAGCAGUGAUUGAUAUUCUAAAUAGGUAUCAAUCACCUGGAUGGGGGGUCAAGGUGUUAACCCAACCUCUCCAGGAAAUAUCCCUGACUCCCACCCUUACUGAAAAUCCUUGUAUGCUUGCUACAUGACUUGCUCCCCCACUUGACCCCCAUUUAAUCAAUAUUACCUGGGUGACUAUACUUGUCAUCUUAUUGGUUGGUCAUGGUUUUGUCCCACCUGAUGCCCACCUUGUAAAUUUCCAUUGGGUCUUGUAGUUUUGUCCCACUUUGUACCCACCUCACCACAUGGCUUUGCUGUAUAAAACAUCUUUGAAAUGUGGGGGGGAAAUAUUCUGUGUGUAGAAUAGAAAGAAUUGAAAAAGGAGUAACUGUCUUCCUAUGAGACUCAAUCCUGUAUCACCUGAAAUCAUGAUGGGAGUCACCCCUAUCUCAUUUAGGAAAGUAUUGGUGUAGACAAUAAAUUAGAUUAUCCCAGGAAAAUAGAAUAUCUUCAGUUUAAGUGAGAGUCUAAAGAUAUUUCUUCCCCACUACCUGUUGCCUGGUCAAUCCUGACAUCAUGUUAUCUCUUCCCUCAAAACACCUUAGAAUGUAACUGAUUGCACAAAGCAACUUCAGAUGAAUUGAUUGUUCAAAAUCUAGGUGCCGGGCUGGGGAUUUAGCUCAGUGGUUUCACCGCCUGCUGCACAAGUGCAAAGACCUGAGUUCAAUCCCUGGUACCAAAAAAGAAAAAGAAAAAAAAAAUCAACAAAAUCUAGGUGCCUGUGUGUUCUUGCUGGUGUGAGGUUAUUGCUCCAUAUCCAGAUCACAAACUCGGCUGAGCUCCCUUGCUUCCACUGCAGCCUGCUUCACACAAACACAGUGUUCUAUUGAAGUCACAUCAGAGAGAGGAGGUUGACACAAUAAAGUCAGUGGAACUAAUGAAUAUUUAGGGAAGAAAACAGCUGGUUAACCGCAGUAACAUGCAAAUAGGAUGCCAUGGCCAUAUGAAAAGUGGAGCCAUUAACCCUAGAGUCCAUUUAAUUUACCUUGGGGUCUGAUGUCAACAUGUACUCAUUGUAAUUUUAAAUUGUUUUCAAAUUAUGCAUGUAAUUAGAAAUCAUCAAGUAAUACAAAUAAGGUUUUUAAACGAGUGUAUUUGCUCUACAGCCCUUCUUUCUCCUCCAGUUAGACUUCUAUAGGUAGCUACUUUUAACUCAUUCUAUUUAUAAGGACUUCUAGUGGUUAGAUCCACAUUUUGAAAUAAUAUUCUUAUAUUUUUAUUUGAUAGUUUGCCACCUUUAAAAAGUGCUUGCAUGGAGGCCAGGGAUUUAGCUCCAUGGUUCCCCUGCCUGCUUCAAGUACAAGGACCUGAGUUUGAUCCCCAGUACCAAAAAAGAAAAAGUGCUUGCAACUUCUAUGUUAGAUGAGAAUUUAAUUAAUACUAUCACCUCUGCCCUCUCCAUCUUCCUUCAUUAUGUUUGGGCUGUUGAGUAGUUUAAUGCCAAUCUGACUGUCAGUCUUUUGGAGGUGACCUGGUCAUUACUUGUAGAAACUUUCAGGAUUGUCUUUUUACUUUUAUGGCUCUGAAAUUUCACAAUGUACAAGAUUUUAUGCCUGAGUAUUUUGGAUGUUUUAAAAGAUAUCAGCUCAGUUAUUUUCAAUAAUUUCUUACUGUUUCAUAUCUUUUGAUGCUAUCAUAAGUGGUAUGUUUUUAUUUAAAUGUCUGAUAAUAUAUAGAAAUACAAUUAAUGUUCACAAAACUUAUAAUUAGUUAUAAUAGUAUUUUUGUAUAAUCCAGUGGAUUUUCUGCAUAAGCAAUCAUGUCAUAUGUAUGGGGUUUUUUGUUUUGGGGUUUUUUUUUGGCACCGGGGAUCAAACUCAGGACCUUGCCCUUGCACGGCAGGCGCUGGAACCACUGAGCUAAAUCCCCAGCCCCAUGCCAUAUGUAAAUAAAGACAGUUUUACUUCUUCCUUUCCAAUCUGCUCUUUUAUUUCUUUUACUUAACUUAUUCCUCUGGAUAGACGCACCAGUGCAUUUUUAAUAGAAGAGGUGAGAAAGAGCAUCCUUGUCUUGAUUCUAAUAUUAGAGGAAAAUUCAAUCUUUUAGCAUCAAGUAUGAUGUUAGCUUUUUUUUAUAGAUGUCUUUUAUCAUAUAAAGGAUGUUCCCUUUAAUUUCUGUUUCCAUACUUGAGAAUUUUUCACUAGGAAUUUGUUAGAUUUUGUCAAAUGCCUUUUUCACAUUUAUUAAGAUAACUGUAUGGUUUUUCUUUAGAAUUUAGUAAUAUAGUACAUUGCAUUUUAAAUUUUUUUCAUUCUAAAAAUGAAAAAUUUGGAAGUAUAUUUUCUAAUCCUUAAAUUUAAGUUUAAUUGCUUUUUAGAUAUAUUCUGAAUUAUAUAUAUAAUAUGAUAUUUUAGAACAUUCUUUAUAGCCAUUUGUUGUGCUAUUUACACAAUACAGAAAGGCAUCAAUGAGAAUUUAGACACAUAUGUAGAAAAAAAGAACAAUUAUUAGAAAAUAAGUCAUAAUAAAUCAAUGGUCCUUAAUUUAAAUAAAACUGAAGCUUAUGGUCAAAUUUCUGUCUUAAAAGGUAUAGAAGCACUCAAUAUAAUCAUAUUUUGUGCUAUUUUUACAGCACUAAGUAAUGGGAAGGAUUUCUCAUAUCACUAAUUCCUUUUUUUAAAAGAUAAAAAGUAAAAUUAAUUUUAAAAAGAUAAAAGGCUGUUAGAUUAUCCAUUUCUUUGUGAAUGAGCUUUGGUAAUUUUUGUCCAUUUAAUCUAAGUUGUCAAAUUUCUUGGCAUAAAGUUCUUCACAAUAUCCCUGUUACUAUCUUUUUCAUAUUUAAAGAAUAUGUAGUGAUGUCCCUUUUGUCACUGAUAAUUUGUUUUAAUUGGUUAUUAGCAAUGGUAUAUUUUUGCAUUUGUUUUGUUUGUUUGUUUUGGUAUCACUAGGGUUUCCCACUGAGCUACAUCCCAGGUCUCAUUUAUUUAUUUUAUUUUGAGGUGGGAUCUCGCUAAGCCACUAAGUUGCCUAGGCUACCAUUGAACUUCCAAUCCUCCUGCCUCAGUCUCCAGGAGUGCUGAGUUUACAGAGUAUCCUGCUUUGUUAUAUCAGAAUAUGUCAUACAUUAACUGGCUGCAUUUUGGGAACCAGUUGUACAGGGCACUUAAAAAAGAAUUUUACAACUGAGAUAUCAAAGGUGGAGAUGCUGGGGAAUUCUUUGACUUUAAAAAACUGGAGUACAAGAUGAGGCCCUGUUUGACAACCAGAUUUCAUGUGACAAUAAGAACAUUCCAGCCAGAUAUAUGCAC